rnacentral:misc_RNA from 1 species
UCCGGUUUGUCACCGGCAGUCUCGCUAAAGUGCCCAACUUAAUGAUGGCAAUUAACGACAAGGGUUGCGCUCGUUGCGGGACUUAACCCAACAUCUCACGACACGAGCUGACGACAGCCAUGCAGCACCUGUGUCCAGGUUCCCUUUCGGGCACAAUCCCAUCUCUGGAACCUUCCUGGCAUGUCAAGGGUAGGUAAGGUUUUUCGCGUUGCAUCGAAUUAAUCCACAUCAUCCACCGCUUGUGCGGGUCCCCGUCAAUUCCUUUGAGUUUUAAUCUUGCGACCGUACUCCCCAGGCGGUCAACUUCACGCGUUAGCUGCGGUACUAAGAAAGUCUCCUUCCCCAACACCUAGUUGACAUCGUUUAGGGCGUGGACUAC